CACGUUUUGAGUGGAUUCACGUGAAAUCCACUGGAUUCCUGUAUCACCCCGCACCCAAUUUUCAGGGGACGCAACCUCGCGCCAACUGUCAAAAUGUUUUUCAAAACAAAAUGCUCUUAUUUCGAUGCAUUUCAAGAGUUUUGUUGUGAUAAGAACACUGGAAUAUAGACUGAAAUACUAUCCAACCAUUAGACUCAUGAUUAUUCAUUUUUUAUUUCAUAUCCUGACAUGGAUCCAAGAUGCUGGUAACUAGGCGGGACGGAUUGUUACACAGAACUGCAGGUUUCUGGAUGGAGACUCAGCGCCAUGUCACAAAUACUUCAGAAGCUUGAAUGAAAGUUACCGAAAGAGCAAUAGACUUUCCAAUCUCUACAAAAUUCAUCUUAACUGUUUUUCAAGGUGAUACUUGAGACUACCAAAGACUUUUCAAGGACAGAAUUCACAAAACAGUUUAUGCCACCAUCUCAUAUCAAAGGAUUGUGCUUGAGUUGAACAGCCUUCAAACAGAAACUGCUUCAACACCUUCAAUGGAUUCAUUCUGAUUCAGUUUACCCUUGCUGUGAUCUGAGCAACUAUUUACAUCCAUUCAACAUUGUAAAUUGUUUAAACUUGAAAAUUCUGUCUUCGUGCAACUCACAUGAAUCUAUUUACUGUGGACUUUGAUGUUGACUCUAUACAGGAAGAAGAGACCAUCUUUAUACAUGCUGGCAUAUCCUUUAAAAAGGAAACAAAUAUUAUAACCAACAUACUACACUGUUAUGUCAUCCAAGGACUCAGCUACUGACUCAAUUUAUAAAUACUUCAAAGAAAAAAUAUCCCUGUCAAUGUAAUUACUGCUGUGCAUAAUAAGACAUUUUUUAAUAUGCGCCCCUUCGAAGAAGAGGGGUAUAUUGCUUUGCACAUGUCGGUCGGUCAGUCGGUACUGUCUACCGUCUGUAAACCAAAGCUUGUCCGAGUGAUAACUCAACAAUUCCUGGACGUAUGGUCAUCAAACUUGACAUGAAGGUUGGGCCAGACCAGUAGAUGACUUUAGGGCUCAUCGGGUCAAAGGUCAAGGUCAAAGUGACCUUGAAUGGUAAAUUAAUUUUAAAGCUUGUCCGAGUGAUAACUCAACAAUGCCUAGACCUUUCGUCAUCUCGUCAUCAAACUUGAUAUGGAAGUUGGGCCUCACCAGUAGAUGACCCCUAUUGGUUUUGGGGAUCAUCGAGCCAAAGAUCAAGGUCACAGUGACGUUGAAUGGUAAAAGGUUGUCCAAGUGAUAAAUCAACAAUGCCUGCCCCCAUGGCCCUCAAACUUGACUCGGAGGUUGGGCCUUACCAGCAGAUGACCCCUAUUGAUUUUAGGGGUCAAAGGUCAAGGUCAAAGUGAUCUUGAAAGCAAACUCGACAAUUCCUGGACCAAUCAUGCCAUUCAGUCUGAAUGGUCAUCAAACUUGACAUAAAGGUUGGGCCUGACCAGUAGAUGACCCCUCUUGACUUUGAGGCUCAUCAAGCCAAGGUCAAGGUCACAAUAAUCUUUAAUGCAAAAAAGAUAACAAAUCCUCUCUCAGGGAUAUCUCAACAAUGCCUGAACCUAUGAUCAUCAAACUUGACAUGGAAGUUGGUCCUGACAAGGAGAUGACGCUUAUUGAUUUUAGGAGUCAUUGGGUCAAAGGUCAAGUUCACAGUGACCUUGAAUGCGAAAAUGUUUCGAGUGAUAACUUGACAAUGCCUGUACCCAUGGCCCUCAAACCUGACUUGGAGUUGUGUCUGGCCUGUAGAUGAGUCCCUUUCAUUUUAGGGGUCAUCGGGUCAAACGUCAAGGUCACAAUGACAUUGAUUGAAAAAAGCUUGUCUGUGUGAUAACAUGUCAAUGCCUGAACCCAUGUCCCUCAAACUUGACAUUUAGAUUUUUGUAGACCAGCUGAUGACUCAUAUGGAUUUUGAGGUCAUAGAGUCAAAGGUCAUGGUCAUAACACACUCUAUCCUCACACUUUGAAUGGUCAUAAUCUUAAAACUGCCUCAACGGCAUCCAAUGUCAGUGACUAAUCAGCUGUCAUUUCGGUCCAUGCUUAUUUCAUUCAAUUGUUCAUAUAAUCCUGACAACAUGGCGCUCAGGUGGGGGCAUAAUGUUUGACAAACAUCUCUUGUUAAUACUUGGCUCAUUUCUUACAUGUAGCUGUAACAUUUUGGGCAACUUCUCAAUUAUUUUGUUUAAGACAUUUUUCAUCCAGCUCAUCUAAGCCUAAGUUAGUGUUCAUGUUAACUUUUAUGACUGCCUGUUUAUUGUACUUUUUAUAAAUUAUUUUUAAUGACUUUUUCAAGAACCAUUUGGCUAAGUAUGUCUCCUCCUGAAAUAGACUAAUUAUGCCCCCACAAAGUGGCGGCAUAUAGGGUUGCCCUUGUCCGUACGUACGUCUGUCUGUCUGUACGUACGUACGUCCCGAAGACUGUUUCCGAUCUAAUUCUUGAAAACCGUUUGUCCAAUCCUCACCAAACUUUAAACACAUGUUUGUGACCAUAAUAUCUUGAUCAAGUUCGAUAGUCAUGGAAAUCGCUUUAGUCAUUUAGGAGUUACGGCCCUUUUUUGCCAAAAAUACUUCAAAAAUAUAUGUUUCCAAUCUAAUUCUUGAAAAGUAUGUGUCCAAUCCUCACCAAACUUUACAUACAUGAUUGUGACCAUAAUAUCUUGAUCAAGUUCGAUAGCCAUGGAAAUCGCUUUUGUCAUUUAGGAGUUACGGCCCUUUAUUUGCAAAAAAAGACUUGAAAAAUACGUCCCGAAGAUUGUUUCCGAUCUAAUUCUUGAAAACUGUUUGUCCAAUCCUCACCAAACUUUUAACACAUGUUUGUGACCAUAAUACCUUGAUCAAGUUCGAUAGCCAUGGAAAUCGCUUUAAUCAUUUAGGAGUUAGGGCCCUUUAUUUCCCAACAAUACUUAAAAAAUAUCUUAUCCGAUCUAAUUUUUGAAAAGGAUUUGCCCUUGUGCAGAUUAUCCUGAAUAAUCAUUAUGGCUUAUUUUCUGUGACAAAAAAUCGAAGUGGGGGCAUCCGUGUCCUAUGGACACAUUUCUAGUUUUUUUAGCUGUAGUUGUCUGUCUGUCCGUCUGUAACAAAUUGUGUCUGCUCCAUGUCUCUUUAACCUUUUGAAGGAUUUGAUAUAACUUCCCACAAAUGUACAUCAUAUUGAGAGGAAGGGUUUAUUAUUAUAACUGUUGAGCAGUUUUUGAACUUGACUGUAUUAUAUCUUGCAUUUACCUCAAGCUGUUAAGUGAACAAUAUAACAUUGACCAAUACAAGGAACUAAACCUUCUAGGUCACCAGUUUGGAAUAAAGUAAUACUUAAAGUUCAUAUUUCCAUAAGAAUCUGCUCAUAUACAGUUUAAAUAGCUUAUACAAGUAUAUCAUUUUAACAUAACAUCAGAUCCUCCACUGUUUUAUGUUUGCAACAUUUUUUUUUAAACUUUGAUUUAUAUAUCAUGACUUUUAUGAACAAAUACCAAACAGCAUCUCACAGAUCUAUACUCAUUUGGGCAGAAUUUUGUAAAUCCAAGCAUUGUCAAUUGAUAUUCAAUGCUUUUUGGCAAAUUGGGGCAUUUUCUGUCACAUUAAAAUCAAUAUUAACAAUAAAUCUCCAACUUCAAUAUUCUUAUAUUUUUGUGCCCAUUCUUUGCCAAUUAUUUGUUUGUCUAUUGAUAUACAUGUAUUUUUAUUCAUACUCUUUUUCAAAAUAACGAAUUAAUAAAAUGUUUGUUACAUUUUAUUUGUUCAUAACUUAUUUAAUAUAACAAAAA